UGGGGAAUUUUUCGCAAUGGGGGAAACCCUGACGAAGCAACGCCGCGUGGAGGAUGAAGGCCUUCGGGUCGUAAACUCCUGUCGACCGGGACGAACAUAGUCCGGCCCAAUACGCCGGGCUAUCGACUGUACCGGUAAAGGAAGCUCCGGCUAACUCUGUGCCAGCAGCCGCGGUAAUACAGAGGGAGCAAGCGUUGUUCGGAAUUACUGGGCGUAAAGGGCGCGUAGGCGGUCUUGCAAGUCCUGUGUGAAAUCCCUCGGCUCAACUGAGGAACUGCACAGGAAACUGCUUGGCUUGAGUUCGGGAGAGGGAAGCGGAAUUCCGGGUGUAGCGGUGAAAUGCGUAGAUAUCCGGAGGAACACCGGUGGCGAAGGCGGCUUCCUGGACCGACACUGACGCUGAGGCGCGAAAGCUAGGGGAGCAAACGGGAUUAGAUACCCCGGUAGUCCUAGCUGUAAACGAUGAGUGCUGGGUGUAGGGGGUAUCAGCCCCUCCUGUGCCGAAGCUAACGCAUUAAGCGCUCCGCCUGGGGAGUACGGUCGCAAGGCUGA
rnacentral:rRNA from 1 species